CCAUGCACCGUCCGGUCACUUGCACCACACGUGCAUUAACAGACGUUGCCAUCCGUUGGUUUGUGAAGAAAACGGAAACGAAGAACCAAAAAAACAAUUAGUGCAGGUUUACCCCGGCCACUUAGCAUGCACGUGGUUGUUGAGAUCGGCCUUUGUUAUGCCCGACCUUUCAAUUUUUGGUUGCGGGGGAAUUGCAUCUAGCAGAGACAACACAGAAGGAUCAACAAGACCAAUUGUUGAUAGUUCCUGAGGCGAAAACCAAUUCUUCUGUUUCAGGUUAAGAUGGGUGUCCCCUGUUUCAGGUUAUUCUUCACUCUGCGAAACCCUAGUUCCCAAUUCACCCCACGGAGCUCAAAUUCCCCUGAGCAUCUGUCUUGUGAGCACUUUGGCGCCUCUUUGGCAAAUGUUGAGGAAUUAAACGCCCGCGAGCAAAGAAAAGAGAUUGUUAGUUUCUUUACAGGCAAUGGAUAAAGUUUAAGCGAUGUAUUCAUGCUACCUGAAGGACAACUUAAAAAGAUUGGAGAUAGAGGUUGAUAAAUAUGCAGAGGACUUGUGCAGGGAAAGGAGAAGACUGCUGGAGAUUAAAAGGUGGCAGUUUGCAUAUGUAUCUUGAUUGCUGGAAGAUCCCAGCAAUCUUAUUCCUUUCAAAAAUAGAUGCGAUGUCAGUUGUAUAAUAUAAUAAAGUGAACUCAUGCUAAGGGUUUAAGAUAUGUAACCAGCCAAUCAAGAUCCAAUGUGUUUUAAGUGUAAAAGUUGCAAUUCUGAGUAUUUUGGCUUUCAAGGAGAGUUACAGAAAAUGGGAUUCUGAUGUUGUAUUCUGUGUGAAAUUGAAGUUCUAGUCAUUGAUAGAGCUCUUGUAAACUCCAGUUUUUUUUUAAUUUUUGUCGUUCAUUUUGCUUU